rnacentral:lncRNA from 1 species
UUGUUCUCCUCUGCCUUUGCCUCUUUUAAAAAGUUCUAAGUUGCUAGCCAAUCAGGACUAAUACAGAAUGUGAGGUUCCAUUCCAGCCAAUGGAGACUGGACAUAGCAGUAGGGUGGACAUGUCAGGUUAUAAAUGACCCUGUCUCCCUUGUUCAGUGUACUCUCAUGGCAGAACAGCUGGCGAGUGUACCCUUUCUGCAGAAAGUAAAAAUGCCCUUGCUGAGGAAAUUAAAUUUAUGUUCAAGUAAAUUUCUUUAUGGCACUGGGAAACAAGCAUUUCUAACAAUUUUGGUGGAAAUCCGUACAUGGAUACGUUCUCUUCUGGGGGCGGUCUCCAGUCCUUUCUCAUGAGGGAGCACACUCCUCUGCCUCAUUGCAGUGGCCUCAGGGAUAUGGAAUUAAGAUCCACCUGGUGUGAUGAAUAAACCCAGACUCUCAGCAACGCAGGAAAAAAAAAACAAAAACUGGCUGGCGAUCUGGAGUAAAGGAUCCUCACAUCCACGUGAACCAGGAAACUCUGUGCCCAAAUCGACGAAAAAAAAACACUGGGAGAGCCGAACUAAAAGUCUUUUAGCACGGGUACCAGCCCUAGAAUUUCCAGUACACCAGCAGCAGCCUGGAAACCACAUCCUCAUCAAAAGACAGAAAGAAAAAAACUCGAGCCAGCCUGAGAAGGACCCUAUUUUAUGCUGUUAACCACUGAGACUGCCAUCCUCACAGCUGAGAAAGGAUGGACCCACCAUACUCAAGUCAAGAAAACAUCUUCCUCGUCAGAAUCAUGGGUUACUGUACUAGGAUUAAGCCUUACUAAGUUAAAGUUAAAGAAAGCUUAAUUUUCAUAUACCUUCUAUAUUGCUUCUUUUCCUUUCCUUAUUCUGUUACUAGCUCCUUUGUUAUUAAUGUAACUAAGUCUGAGUCACCUCAGACCAUUGCCUUUUAUGCUUGCUCUGUCAUACCUUGUGGAAAUGUAAAAGAUCAAUGACAGCUAGCCUUUUCACACAAUUAUUUAUGCCUCGGCCCUCUAAUUGACACAGUUACCCCUAGCACUCAUCGUUGUGAUCACCUGCAGCCAAGACGCUGAUUUUCUGCUCCUAUAGCCUGGCAACCUUGUGGUACAUGGGACUACGUCCUUUAAACUACCCAGGAGCAAAGUUGGACUUCCAUGAAAAAGGUUUGUGCAGAUCUAAAACCUCUCAUCUAUUUCACUAAAAGGACUUCCCCUUCUAACUGUCACCCUUACCAAUGUAACCCUGUCCUCUCUAUCACCACCUCCACCUGUCUUUAACUAACUCUAGACCUGUCCUUAAUUGCUUUUAUGGUAUUGGAAUAGGAAUUAAAAGAAAUUAAAGAAUGUGUAAGGAGAAACUCAGUUGUAUGUAAGAAAACCCAAUUCCCCCUGAGAAAGAGAAAGAGUUGGAGUCCUUUAAAAAUUAACUGCCUGUUUUUCUGUGGCUAGUGAGCCUUAUCUCUCCUCCUUUCCCAGACAUUGUGAAGACCCUGUUUCUCUAGCUGUGCAGCUGCAAGGUCACUAGACAGAUAAACUCAAGUUGUAAAACAUGUUUUUCCUUGAAAAGUAAGAAAUGCUGUAAUGCAUUUCUCAAUUAAUUAAAUAACUGUCUUUGUUUCUCGCUUCUGUAAUAUGCUUCCCCCUGCACAGAUCUCCACCCACCCUACAAAAUGCUUAAAAGGUAACUUAACUCUUUGUUCUGGGCUCAGUCCUUUGGGCUGAGUACUGGGCCGGUGCACCUAAAUAAUAAAUAUCUUCCUGAACCCCA